rnacentral:sRNA from 1 species
AUUUGGCGCCACUGUGUGAAUUUUCAGCCUGUCUAGAUAGCUUUAUGACUCCCCUGUUUGCCGUUCUUUACUGUUUUUGGCGAAUGUUGUGUGCCAGACUUAUGAAAGUUGUUAGCUGUUACAUGAUACUACAAAAACCAAAAGAAAGAUAAAGGACGCUUCACCAUGGAUGUUAUGGCUAUAGAUAUCAGACACUCCUAUCAUUGUACUGCUCUUAACACUUGUAUCACUGGCCGCUGAGCUGCUACCGCUACUGCUGCUAACACUUGACAUGGCGCUGCCACUGGCCUUGACACUUGUGCCUGAAGUCGAGGCCAUACUCGUGAUAGUACUGCUGGCAGUCACGGAACUCAUAUGACUGCUUAGGCUCGAACGACUGCUUGACGAAGUCAUGCCCGCAGUCAAAUUCGUGCUUCGGAGAUCACAUGAGGUGAGCACGGUACUCGAACACACUGAAGAGGGCAUGGCGCCGGAUAGCCGGGAAUUCGACGUGAAAGACAUGGUAGUCAAAGACGAUGGAAGGGAAUCAGGGGCAGAUGUGAAGUCGUUGCUUUGAAGAUACAAAGUUUUGAGGGAAGUGAGUUGGCUGAGUGGAGGUAUCUGACCACUGAGCGAGUUGUAAGAUAAAUCGCUGGGAUGAACUAUUAGAAUAUCGCCUUUUAGUGAUAUGAAUUUUACUCACAGGUAGGUCAAUGAAGAGGGCAAUUUGUCCGCUUUGGCAUCGGCCAACCCUUGCCCUGUCACAGCGGCGGUGACGAGUUUGGUGUUGGAUGACAGGUCGGGCAUAGAUGUGCCAAGCUGGGAAUUGCUGACCAGCAUCAAAGUGGUUAACUCUGUUGCAGAGCUGAAGGGUGCUGUAUCGAUCCUGCCCGUGAUUGCAGUGUACUCAAGGUCCAAUGUCUGAAAGUAGGGAAGAGACAGUAAAGAGCUGGGGAAAUUGCCAGCUGAAAAGGAUAACACUGUUCAGAAAGUCCUUGAAAUUAACAAAUGAAU